AUUGAACGCUGGCGGCAGGCUUAACACAUGCAAGUCGAGCGGAGUGAUGGUGCUUGCACUAUCACUUAGCGGCGGACGGGUGAGUAAUGCUUAGGAAUCUGCCUAUUAGUGGGGGACAACAUCUCGAAAGGGAUGCUAAUACCGCAUACGUCCUACGGGAGAAAGCAGGGGAUCACUUGUGACCUUGCGCUAAUAGAUGAGCCUAGGUCGGAUUAGCUAGUUGGUGGGGUAAAGGCCUACCAAGGCGACGAGUUGUAACGGGUCUGAGAGGAUGAUCCGCCACACUGGGACUGAGACACGGCCCAGACUCCUACGGGAGGCAGCAGUGGGGAAUAUUGGACAAUGGGGGGAACCCUGAUCCAGCCAUGCCGCGUGUGUGAAGAAGGCCUUAUGGUUGUAAAGCACUUUAAGCGAGGAGGAGGCUCUUUUGGUUAAUACCCAAGAUGAGUGGACGUUACUCGCAGAAUAAGCACCGGCUAACUCUGUGCCAGCCGCCGCGGUAA
rnacentral:rRNA from 1 species